GUCUACUGCCAUGCCACCCUGAACAUGCCUGAUCUCGUCUGAUUUUGAAAGCUAAGCAGGGUCGGGCCUAGUUACUACUUGGAUGGGAGACCACCUAGGAAUACCAGGUGCUAUAGGCA
rnacentral:rRNA from 1 species